rfam:Tupaia chinensis contig223890, whole genome shotgun sequence.
CAAGAUCUUUUCCUCCAGUCGGGACUGUUGACCUGAUGCAACCUUAGCAUCUUUAGAUGGUUUAGCCCAGGCUAAU